GACGAACGCUGGCGGCGUGCUUAACACAUGCAAGUCGAACGCUGAAGCUUGGUGCUUGCACUGGGUGGAUGAGUGGCGAACGGGUGAGUAAUACGUGAGUAACCUGCCCUUGACUCUGGGAUAAGCCUGGGAAACUGGGUCUAAUACUGGAUACGACAUGUCACCGCAUGGUGGUGUGUGGAAUGGGUUUUACUGGUUUUGGAUGGGCUCACGGCCUAUCAGCUUGUUGGUGGGGUAAUGGCUCACCAAGGCGACGACGGGUAGCCGGCCUGAGAGGGUGACCGGCCACACUGGGACUGAGACACGGCCCAGACUCCUACGGGAGGCAGCAGUGGGGAAUAUUGCACAAUGGGCGGAAGCCUGAUGCAGCGACGCCGCGUGAGGGAUGACGGCCUUCGGGUUGUAAACCGCUUUCAGCACGGAAGAAGCGAAAGUGACGGUACGGGCAGAAGAAGCGCCGGCUAACUACGUG
rnacentral:rRNA from 1 species